UGACAAUAGAUAAUCCAUCUAUCGCAAAACAGGAGGAUCCAGAUAAGUUGUCGAAGACCAUAGUGACCUAGAAUUGGGUCGUCUUUGAUGAUGAAUUCAAGGCCAAAGGAUGUGCAGAUGAAUUCUCAUUUUGGGGGGUCGAUGGAGUUGAAAAGACGACAAAUUAUAUAGAUCCUUUUGCAGCUUCUCUAAAUUGUCGUCCUCUUUUAUAUGGUUAUAACAGUGAUCCAAAUUUCUUGUAUCAUCAAAUGGGUUCCUGCAGUUCGAGCAUUACUUCAAUCCAUUUCCAGCAGCUGCUUCAACUGUUGGAAACCAGAGUAAUUGGAUUGUCUCUCUUUAAGGAGAAC